rfam:Mus musculus chromosome 7, GRC primary reference assembly.
CACCUCUGGCAAUGGGCAAAAAGACACCUUGUUGGUGCUGUUUUUAAAUCAGUCAGGGCCAGAGCAGAUGGCAGCCCUUUGUUCAUCCUAGCCUGAUGCCUGGCUAGGUGGCCAAAGCUGCCUUAAACCUAGGACUCAUAA